UACGGGAGGCAGCAGUGGGGAAUCUUAGACAAUGGGGCAACCCUGAUCUAGCCAUGCCGCGUGAGUGAUGAAGGCCUUAGGGUUGUAAAGCUCUUUCAGCUGGGAAGAUAAUGACGGUACCAGCAGAAGAAGCCCCGGCUAACUCCGUGCCAGCAGCCGCGGUAAUACGGAGGGGCUAGCGUUGUUCGGAAUUACUGGGCGUAAAGCGCACGUAGGCGGACUGGAAAGUCAGAGGUGAAAUCCCAGGGCUCAACCUUGGAACUGCCUUUGAAACUAUCAGUCUGGAGUUCGAGAGAGGUGAGUGGAAUUCCGAGUGUAGAGGUGAAAUUCGUAGAUAUUCGGAGGAACACCAGUGGCGAAGGCGGCUCACUGGCUCGAUACUGACGCUGAGGUGCGAAAGCGUGGGGAGCAAACAGGGAUUAGAUACCCGU
rnacentral:rRNA from 1 species